rnacentral:rRNA from 1 species
GCGAGUCUGCCUUGAAGAUCGGAGUGCUUGCACUCUGUGAAACAAGAUACAGGCUAGCGGCGGACGGGUGAGUAACACGUGGGUAACCUGCCCAAGAGAUCGGGAUAACACCUGGAAACAGAUGCUAAUACCGGAUAACAACAGAUGAUGCCUAUCAACUGUUUAAAAGAUGGUUCUGCUAUCACUCUUGGAUGGACCUGCGGUGCAUUAGCUAGUUGGUAGGGUAACGGCCUACCAAGGCGAUGAUGCAUAGCCGAGUUGAGAGACUGAUCGGCCACAUUGGGACUGAGACACGGCCCAAACUCCUACGGGAGGCAGCAGUAGGGAAUCUUCCACAAUGGACGCAAGUCUGAUGGAGCAACGCCGCGUGAGUGAAGAAGGGUUUCGGCUCGUAAAGCUCUGUUGUUGGUGAAGAAGGACAGGGGUAGUAACUGACCUUUGUUUGACGGUAAUCAAUUAGAAAGUCACGGCUAACUACGUGCCAGCAGCCGCGGUAAUACGUAGGUGGCAAGCGUUGUCCGGAUUUAUUGGGCGUAAAGCGAGUGCAGGCGGCUCGAUAAGUCUGAUGUGAAAGCCUUCGGCUCAACCGGAGAAUUGCAUCAGAAACUGUCGAGCUUGAGUACAGAAGAGGAGAGUGGAACUCCAUGUGUAGCGGUGAAAUGCGUAGAUAUAUGGAAGAACACCGGUGGCGAAGGCGGCUCUCUGGUCUGUUACUGACGCUGAGGCUCGAAAGCAUGGGUAGCGAACAGGAUUAGAUACCCUGGUAGUCCAUGCCGUAAACGAUGAGUGCUAAGUGUUGGGAGGUUUCCGCCUCUCAGUGCUGCAGCUAACGC